AUGCACGACACGGAAGGCCUGCCGUUCAUGAAGCAUGGUUGUGUCUUCAAUGCGCACCACCGGAUGAACGACAUGCUGGGACACACUAUCCCUGAUUUAUGCCGCUUUAGCUUGGAUGAGUCUCCAUCAUGUGGAACCAGACUAGAAAGCCACGACAAUGAUUCCCGUUGCCCACCGCUAUGGAUCAUGCCAUCCAUGAAGAACAUCUGGGACUGGAACCUGGAGGAGGACAUUUUGAAGCACUCCUCUGGUUUGAAGGAUAGAUACCUUCCUGGGAUCAAGUGCAUCCUAACUCACCUGCUACCAUAUAACUGGAGUUACCGAUGCAAGUCGAAGAAGGAUUGGCCCGUGCUGCCGGCUGGCGUCAAGUUUGAUCCCACGGAUCAGGAGCUGAUCGAGCACUUUGAGGCCAAAGUGAGUGCUGACAGCGCGAGAUUUCAGUCUCUCAUCGAUUUGUUCAUACCAACCAUCGACAGCGAGCACGACAUAUGUUACACCCAACCUGAGAAACUUCCAGGUAUCACACUGAGUGGCCUAAGGAAGCAUUUCUUCCAAUGCAAUUCCAGGGCGUUUAAAAGGGGCGUGUGGACGCAUCGCAAGAUACAGUCAGAGUGUGGCAUGCACGCGAUGUGGCACCAGACCGACAAUACCUUGCCGGUGAUGGUCAACGGCCGGCAGACGGCAGCAAAAAAGGUUCUGGUGCUGCACACCAACAAGAACUUCGACCAGCAAAGGACCAACUGGGUGAUGCACCAGUACCACCUCGGGGACCUGGAGCAAGAGAAGGAGCGGGAGCUGGUCCUCUGCAAGAUUUUCUACCAGACGAACACUAGGGCCAGGAGUAAAAAGAUUAUAAGUUAUUUUGGUAUUGGUAGUUGUACUACCUUGUCGUCCGCAAGUUGGUAUUGUUGUUAA
rnacentral:rRNA from 1 species